rnacentral:rRNA from 1 species
GGGGAAUCUUGCGCAAUGGGCGAAAGCCUGACGCAGCGACGCCGCGUGCGGGAUGAAGGCCUUCGGGUUGUAAACCGCUUUCAGCAGGGACGAAAUUGACGGUACCUGCAGAAGAAGCUCCGGCCAACUACGUGCCAGCAGCCGCGGUAAGACGUAGGGAGCAAGCGUUGUCCGGAUUUAUUGGGCGUAAAGGGCUCCUAGGUGGUUCAGUAAGUCGACUGUGAAAAUCCAAGGCUCAACCUUGGAACGCCAGCCGAUACUGCUGUGACGUGAGUUCGGUAGAGGAGUGUGGAAUUUCUGGUGUAGCGGUGAAAUGCGCAGAUAUCAGAAGGAACACCAACGGCGAAGGCAGCACUCUGGGCCGAUACUGACACUGAAGAGCGAAAGCGUGGGGAGCAAAC